AUUGAACGCUGGCGGCAGGCCUAACACAUGCAAGUCGAACGGUAACAGGGAUCAGCUUGCUGAUUCGCUGACGAGUGGCGGACGGGUGAGUAAUGUCUGGGAAACUGCCUGAUGGAGGGGGAUAACUACUGGAAACGGUAGCUAAUACCGCAUAACGUCGCAAGACCAAAGAGGGGGACCUUCGGGCCUCUUGCCAUCGGAUGUGCCCAGAUGGGAUUAGCUAGUAGGUGGGGUAACGGCUCACCUAGGCGACGAUCCCUAGCUGGUCUGAGAGGAUGACCAGCCACACUGGAACUGAGACACGGUCCAGACUCCUACGGGAGGCAGCAGUGGGGAAUAUUGCACAAUGGGCGCAAGCCUGAUGCAGCCAUGCCGCGUGUAUGAAGAAGGCCUUCGGGUUGUAAAGUACUUUCAGCGGGGAGGAAGGGAGUAAAGUUAAUACCUUGGCUCAUUGACGUUACCCGCAGAAGAAGCAUCGGCUAACUCCGUG
rnacentral:rRNA from 1 species